UCAAGGGACGGGAAACGGUCCAGGGUUAACCUGAGAACCCCAAAAGUUGAAUUGGGAGUUUCAUCGUCAGCCAAUUUGGCUUGCGUUUGGCUCCAAUGCUUGUCGUUUGGGGACGGGCACACGGCGCUGCGUCAUGUCAGGCCGGUUCGGCGUGCACUUCUUCCCCUGUAGGACGUCGCGACCCGUGAGUGUCGUCUACGGCCCGCGAGGUUGCCUGUCGCGGCGCGUUCGCGCGCUCGCGGCAGACCCGCGUCGCCCGGCCGACUGCUCGGCGGUAGAGAUCGCUUCACGGUAAUGGGCCGCACUGCGUGCGUUAGGCUCGUCGGCAGGUAAGCCUCGCUCGGAUACGGACCUAGUGCCGUUGUCGGGUGCUUGGCCGGCCUUAGUCGACGAUGUCCUCGGACGGGCUCGUUCAAGAAUUACGCUACCGGUCAGCGACGCUACUGCUUUGGGUACUUUCAGGACCCGUCUUGAAACACGGACCAAGGAGUCUAACAUGUGCGCGAGUCAUUGGGACUUAAAGCCUAAAGGCGCAAUGAAAGUGAAGGUCCGCUUAUGCGACCGAGGGAGGA
rnacentral:rRNA from 1 species